GAUGAACGCUGGCGGCGUGCAUAAUUCAUGUAAGUCGAGCGAACAGACGAGGAGCUUGCUCCUCUGUCGUUAGCGGCGGCCGGGUGAGUAACACGUGGAUAACCUACCUAUACAACUGGGAUAACUUCGGGAAACCGGCGCUAAUACCGGAUAAUAUAUUGAACCGCAUGGUUAAAUAGUGAAAGACGGUUUUCCUGUCACUUAUAGAUGGAUCCGCGCCGCAUUAGCUAGUUGGUAAGGUAACGGCUUACCAAGGCAACGAUGCGUAGCCGUCCUAAAAUGGUGAUCUGCCACACUGGAACUGAGAAACGCUCCAGACUCCUACGGGAGGCAACAGUAGGGAACCGUCCGUAAUGGGCGAAGGCCUGACGGAGCACCGCGCCAUGCGGGAUGAGGGUCUUCGGACCGUAACACACUGUUAUUAGGGAAGAACAUAGCUGUAAGUGACUAUGCACGUCUUGACGGUACCUAAGCAGAAAGCCACGGCUAAUUACGUG
rnacentral:rRNA from 1 species